rnacentral:misc_RNA from 1 species
AAAGAGAAAACCAUUUUCAUAAUAAUUAGUAGAAAAAUCACAACUAGUCACCAUUUUCAGAUUCCCUUAAACACAUAUUCAUAUAAAGAGAAUUAAUCAACGACCCACAAGAGUUGGUUUCAGUGGCUGGUGAAGUGAGCUGUGAAAGAGCUCUAGGAGCGAUGGAAAUGGUGUUUAUUAGAAUUCUUGCUGACGGUGAUUGACCAGCGUAGAGAAAGAGAGAGGGGAGGAUUACCGGAGAUAGCCGGAUCUGGGGCA